CCAAUUCUCAUUUAAAGAGACAAAACAAUUUUGUUCUCAACCUAAUUUGGGCCAAUAUGCAAUUACCACAACCUUUGGGCUAUAUUGCAAAAACAUAAACUUUUGGGGUCACUUUGUAAAAACACAAAAGUCCACUAUUUCAUGUAAUUACAACUAGAACCCAAAAUUUAAACAAUGCAAAAACUUCAUUUAAGGAGCAAAACAAUUUGUCCUUUAGAGUUUUUGGACCUAAACGUAAAAAUGUAAAAUUUUGGGCCAAAGUGCAAAUACACAAAAGUAUCAAAACUUUAUGUAAUUGCAUAAAAGCCCCAAAAGUACUCCCAUUGAGGGAGUGGCCAGUUUUGGAGAGGGAAAUGAGUGAUGUGUGUGUUGAUUUGUGAGUUUUGACAUAAAGCAAGCAAGUGGUGCAAGUGGUGUGUGUGAAAGGGAAUUAAUCCUUACACACCCACCAAUAAUUCUACCACCUUUCUAAACAAAUAUCUAAUACAUUUAAACAUUUGAAAAAACAUAAAACAUAAACUUUAUGAAAUAAAUCAAAACUUUGAAUCAAAACACAAAACUUUUUGUUCUUGGCAAAAAUGUCAAGAACAAUGAAGAACAUUCAUGAAAAACCCAAAAAAUUUCCAUGAACAUUUUUCAUCCAAAAACAUCCCAAAACCAUUCAAACUUUAGGGAAAUAACAUAUAACCAAACUAGGUUACAUAAGGGUUCCAAAAGUCACUUGAAAACACUUUUAACAAGUCAAACAAGAACCCAAAAAUCCACCCUUUGGAUUUGGCCGAAUUUUCCCAAAAGCAUGGCACCAAAUUUUAGCUCCAAUAUUCAUGCUCAUAUGAACUACAUCUACAACAUUUGAGAUGGCAAAUUUUCAAACAAAAUUUACAUUCAAAGAAACAAGAAUAAAGCUUGUAACAUAUUACAACUUUUAAAUCACAAACUAUGAACUACAAAACCCAAAAGGAUUCACCAACUACUACACCUAGGCUCUGAUAUCACUUGAAGGAAAUUUUGUGAAAACAUGUUCAUUUGAAUAACAUCAUAUAGCAUGCAAUUAACAAUUAAAGGGGGAAUCAUGCUUGCAUGCACUCAAAAACAAAACAUUACCCAUGAAAUUCAAAGCCUAGUAGAUUGGUGAACCAAGACUCAACUCAAAUCAAAGUGAGUUGAGAAAUUAUACCUUUGCAGAUUCCUCUUUGCAUAAGCAAAGGCUAAUCACCCAAAGAGAGGGCCUUCAUUCCUUGCUUUUUAGAUCCAUGGAUUUGGAUGGAAGAAUAGGUUUCUCCAAGUUCCCAAAGUAGAGAACCUCUAAGUCUCCACACCAAGGUUAGAUUUAAGUAGAAAUGAGUGACCUAGAGGAAGCAAGAUUGCUAGCUAAAUUCCUCUAGGGUGGCCGGCCUCUUAAGAGAGAAAGGAGAGCUUUGUUUUCUCAUCCUUUCCCAAAAAGAAAAUCCUAAAUGAAUUUUGGCUCUAAAGUCAUAUUUAUACCUUAAUUCAUUGGAGUGGCAAACUUGUAAAUAAGUCCAAAACCCACUUCAUCUCUAAAUGGCCGGCCAUAGGGAUUCAUUGGGCUAUUUGGGCCUUUGUGAAUCAUUAUUCAUUAAGUUGUCAUACAACUUAAGUCAAUGGACUUGACGUUCGA
rnacentral:lncRNA from 1 species